CAUUGAUGUCGGAUUUACUGAGGUUUAAAGGAUGCGUAGGCGGACACUUAAGCCAGUGGUGAAAUCCCAUAGCUCAACUAUGGAACUGCCAUUGGAACUGUGUGUCUUGAAUUCGGUUGAGGUAGAUGGAAUAUAACAUGUAGCGGUGAAAUGCUUAGAUAUGUUAUAGAACACCGAUUGCGAAGGCAGUCUACUAAGCCGACAUUGACGCUGAGGCAUGAAAGCGUGGGGAGCGAACAGGAUUAGAUACCCUGGUAGUCCACGCCCUAAACGUUGAUUACUCGCUGUUAGCGAUAUACUGUUAGCGGCUAAGCGAAAGCGUUAAGUGAUCCACCUGGGAAGUACGAUCGCAAGAUUGAAACUCAAAGGAAUUGACGGGGGCCCGCACAAGCGGAGGAGCAUGUGGUUUAAUUCGAUGAUACGCGAGGAACCUUACCUGGGCUUAAAUGUUAGAUGCCAUUCUGCGAAAGCGGAAGUUUCUUCGGAACAUCUAGCAAGGUGCUGCAUGGCUGUCGUCAGCUCGUGCCGUGAGGUGUUGGGUUAAGUCCCGCAACGAGCGCAACCCCUAUCAUUAGUUGCCAUCAGGUUAAGCUGGGGACUCUAAUGAAACUGCCUACGCAAGUAGAGAGGAAGGCGGGGACGACGUCAAGUCAUCAUGGCCCUUACGCCCAGGGCUACACACGUGCUACAAUGGUAGGUACAAUGAGAAGCUACUUGGUAACAAGACGCAAACCUCAAAAAGCCUAUCUCAGUUCGGAUUGAGGUCUGCAACUCGACCUCAUGAAGUUGGAUUCGCUAGUAAUCGUAUAUCGGCAAUGAUACGGUGAAUACGUUCCCGGGCCUUGUACACACCGCCCGUCAAGCCAUGGAAGCUGGGAGAACCUGAAGUCGAUAACCGAAAGGAGUCGCCUAGGGUUAUACUAAUAACUGGGGGCUAAGUCGUAACAAGGUAAAUCGAAUUCCCGCGGGCCGCCAUGGCGGGCCGGGGAGCAUGCGACGUCGGGCCCAAAUUCGCCCCUAUAGUGAGUCGUAUUAACAAUUCACCGUGGCGCGCGCGCUCGGUUUUUUUUCACCGG
rnacentral:rRNA from 1 species